rnacentral:misc_RNA from 1 species
UCACCCCUCAAGCCUGGCUUGUUGUUGGACCUCCAGGUCUGGGUUCACCCCCGACCGGUCUCAAUAGUAAUGACGGCGUCCGUGGGACUCUCGGUGCAACGAGCUUUUUACGAGGCACGCACAGAGUCGAAAGGUCCCCCGGCACGGUCUUUUAAUCUUUAAUUUCUAA